rnacentral:rRNA from 1 species
UACGUAGGGUGCAAGCGUUGUCCGGAAUUAUUGGGCGUAAAGAGCUCGUAGGCGGUCUGUCGCGUCUGCUGUGAAAACUCGGGGCUUAACCCCGGCCUGCAGUGGGUACGGGCAGACUAGAGUGCGGUAGGGGAGACUGGAAUUCCUGGUGUAGCGGUGAAAUGCGCAGAUAUCAGGAGGAACACCGGUGGCGAAGGCGGGUCUCUGGGCCGAUACUGACGCUGAGGAGCGAAAGCGUGGGGAGCGAACAGG